rnacentral:RNase_P_RNA from 1 species
AGAGUAGACUGAAUAGUCGCGUGAUUUUUCACGAGGAAAGUCCGAGCUCCACAGGGCAGGAAUGCCAGAUAACAUCUGGUGGAGGCGACUCCAAGGAUAGUGCAACAGAGAGAUACCGCCGUAAAGGCAAGGGUGGAAAGGUGGGGUAAGAGCCCACCAGCGGUUCGGAGACGGGCCGGCUAUGUAAACCCCAUUCGGAGCAAGACCAAAAAGGGGCCGAAGAAGAGGUUGCCCGCCUCUGCUCCAAAGGUAGGUCGCUUGAGGCUGCCGGCGACGGCAGUCCCAGAUAGAUGACUAUUUUCAAUGACAGAACUCGGCUUACAGGUCUACUCUUUUU